AAGUCGUAACAAGGUCUCCGUUGGUGAACCAGCGGAGGGAUCAUUAGAGAGUAUAAAAACUCCCAACCCAUGUGAACAUACCUACGUUGCCUCGGCGGAGGGCCUAAAACACCCCCCGCCGCUGGCCCAUUAAACUCUGUUUUAUUUUGAAAUUCUGAAUAUUAAAGCAAAUAAGUUAAAACUUUCAACAACGGAUCUCUUGGUUCUG
rnacentral:misc_RNA from 1 species